rnacentral:rRNA from 1 species
GACGAACGCUGGCGGCGUGCUUAACACAUGCAAGUCGAACGAUGAAGCUGGAGCUUGCUCUGGCGGAUUAGUGGCGAACGGGUGAGUAACACGUGAGAAAUCUGCCCUUGACUCUGGGAUAACUGCGGGAAACUGUAGCUAAUACCGGAUACUUUCCCUGGUGGGCAUCCACUGGGGAAGAAAGAAUUUCGGUCAAGGAUGAUCUCGCGGCCUAUCAGCUUGUUGGUGAGGUAAUGGCUCACCAAGGCGACGACGGGUAGCCGGCCUGAGAGGGUGACCGGCCACACUGGGACUGAGACACGGCCCAGACUCCUACGGGAGGCAGCAGUGGGGAAUAUUGCACAAUGGGCGCAAGCCUGAUGCAGCAACGCCGCGUGAGGGAUGAAGGCCUUCGGGUUGUAAACCUCUCUUAGCAGGGAAGAAGCGAAAGUGACGGUACCUGCAGAAAAAGCACCGGCUAACUACGUGCCAGCAGCCGCCGCCG